rnacentral:rRNA from 1 species
GGGAUCAUUACAGAGAAGCGUG